GACGAACGCUGGCGGCGUGCUUAAUACAUGCAAGUCAACUGAACUUUAGGUAGCAAUAUUUAAAGGGAGGUGGCGCACGGGUGAGUAACACGUAGGUAAUCUGCCUUCAGGACUGACAUAAUUCCGCGAAAGCGGGACUAAAAUCAGAUGAUGCAGCGGCUCGACAUCGAGACAGUUGUUAAACCUUCGGGGCCUGAAGAUGAGCCUGCGUCUGAUUAGGUAGUUGGCGGGGUAAAAGCCCACCAAGCCUGCGAUCAGUAGCUGGUCUGAGAGGAUGAUCAGCCACACUGGAACUGAGACACGGUCCAGACUCCUACGGGAGGCAGCAGUAAGGAAUAUUGCUCAAUGGCCGAAAGGCUGAAGCAGCAACGCCGCGUGGAGGAUGAAAUACUUUAGUAUGUAAACUCCUGUAAGAGGGGAAAAAUAUACAGCUAUGCUGUGUUGAUUGUACCCUCAGAGUAAGCACCGGCUAACUACGU
rnacentral:rRNA from 1 species